CAGAUUUUAGUCGUGAGAUGAUUUAUUCUGAGGUACUUUCACAUACCUGAAUGUCAUUUAAAAACCAAAAAACACCACGAGGAAGAGACGCAGCGUUUUCUCCUGAGCGUGAAGUUGGCUUUUGGUGCUGCUUGUGCAGCUGCCAUGGGUCGUUGAUGAUCGUUCUUCUCUCCUUUUUUGGGAGAGGGAGAGGGAGAAAACGCCGUCUGAGUGGU